UUUUUGUCAGAACGUUUAGUUCUGAAAUUAAAACCAUGGGUUAACGUAUAUUUUGUCAUUACUGAUACAAGUGUUGACUUAUCCUUAUACAACUAUUUCACUUUCAUAUCAAUACUCUUGCUAUCACAUAUUAAGUUUUUAAUCUCAAACUCUUGCACUACAAUGAACGUUGGUUUUCUGACUCAAUAAUAGAAAGAGCGAGCGCAUCCAUUUUCAUCCCUUCCAAAAAAUCCACCGAUCUAGUUUCUACAUCGAACUCUAAUCCUUUGCACAUUUAUCCGUUGUGGUUAUGCACAACAAUUACAUUAUGAAGCCAGGAAGAGUUUUCUUUAACUCAACAUAUAUCGUAACACCAUUAUCAUUCCUAAUAACAAUAGGAGAGUCAUUGCCAACGACAACAUAAUGGACUAAUUGUUUUUCGUGACUCUUCAGUGACCGAUUCAGCAGCAAUUGAGGAAAUCAACUUCAAAUAAGUUAUUGUUUCUGCAAUAAUAAUUCCUUCACUUUUGUAUCCUACAUAUUGUAUGUUAGAUUUCCAUUCACCAGAGUGCCUUAACAGAAUUGGGAUAUUCAUCUUCUUGAUGUUCUUUUCUAAAAAAUAUAAUAAUAAAUUUUGCAUUUGGAAGAAAUCUGACAAUUACAGCCUGAUCGUUGCGAAGUAUGUGUUCUUUUGAUCU
rnacentral:lncRNA from 1 species